rnacentral:rRNA from 1 species
AUACGGAGGAUGCGAGCGUUAUCCGGAUUUAUUGGGUUUAAAGGGUGCGUAGGCUGUGCGUUAAGUCAGGGGUGAAAUGCCGUCGCUCAACGACGGAGCUGCCCUUGAUACUGGCGUGCUGGAGUACGGAUGCCGUUGGAGGAAUGAGUGGUGUAGCGGUGAAAUGCUUAGAUAUCACUCAGAACACCGAUUGCGAAGGCAGCUGAGGAAGCCGUGUCUGACGCUGAGGCACGAAAGCGUGGGGAUAGAACAGUAUUAUAUACCCUGGUAUUCCACGCCGUAAACGAUGAUGACUAACCGUCGGCGAUAGACAGCCGGUGGCCAAGCGAAAGCGAUAAGUCAUCCACCUGGGGAGUACGUCGGCAACGAUGAAACUCAAAGGAAUUGGCGGGU